rnacentral:rRNA from 1 species
CAGCCGCCGCGGUAAUACAGAGGGUGCAAGCGUUAAUCGGAAUUACUGGGCGUAAAGCGCGCGUAGGUGGUUUGUUAAGUUGGAUGUGAAAGCCCCGGGCUCAACCUGGGAACUGCAUCCAAAACUGGCAAGCUAGAGUACGGUAGAGGGUGGUGGAAUUUCCUGUGUAGCGGUGAAAUGCGUAGAUAUAGGAAGGAACACCAGUGGCGAAGGCGACCACCUGGACUGAUACUGACACUGAGGUGCGAAAGCGUGGGGAGCAAACAGGAUUAGAUACCCCCGUAGUCCCUGUCUCUUAUAA